GAGUUUCAUCAUGGCUCAGAUUGAACGCUGGCGGCAGGCCUAACACAUGCAAGUCGAGCGAGAAAGCACUUCGGUGUGAGUACAGCGGCGGACGGGUGAGUAACGCGUAGGAAUCUGUCCAGUAGUGGGGGACAACUUGGGGAAACUCAAGCUAAUACCGCAUACGCCCUACGGGGGAAAGCGGGGGAUCUUCGGACCUCGCGCUAUUGGAGGAGCCUGCGUUAGAUUAGCUAGUUGGUGGGGUAAAGGCCUACCAAGGCGACGAUCUAUAGCUGGUCUGAGAGGAUGAUCAGCCACACUGGAACUGAGACACGGUCCAGACUCCUACGGGAGGCAGCAGUGGGGAAUAUUGGACAAUGGGCGCAACCCUGAUCCAGCCAUGCCGCGUGUGUGAAGAAGGCCUUAGGGUUGUAAAGCACUUUCAGUAGGGAGGAAAAGUUAGUCGUUAAUAACGGCUAACCCUGACGUUACCUACAGAAGAAGCACCGGCAAACUCCGUGCCAGCAGCCGCGGUAAUACGGAGGGUGCGAGCGUUAAUCGGAAUUACUGGGCGUAAAGCGUACGUAGGCGGAUCAGAAAGUAUGGGGUGAAAUCCCAGGGCUCAACCCUGGAACUGCCUCAUAAACUCCUGGUCUAGAGUUCGAGAGAGGUGAGUGGAAUUCCGAGUGUAGAGGUGAAAUUCGUAGAUAUUCGGAGGAACACCAGUGGCGAAGGCGGCUCACUGGCUCGAUACUGACGCUGAGGUACGAAAGUGUGGGGAGCAAACAGGAUUAGAUACCCUGGUAGUCCACACCGUAAACGAUGAAUGCCAGUCGUCGGGUUGCAUGCAAUUCGGUGACACACCUAACGGAUUAAGCAUUCCGCCCUGGGGAGUACGGUCGCAAGAUUAAAACUCAAAGGAAUUGACGGGGGCCCGCACAAGCGGUGGAGCAUGUGGUUUAAUUCGAACCAACGCGAAGAACCUUACCUACUCUUGAAAUCCUGCGAAGCUGCAGAGAUGCGGGAGUGCCUUCGGGAAUUCUGAGACAGGUGCUGCAUGGCUGUCGUCAGCUCGUGUCGUGAGAUGUUGGGUUAAGUCCCGUAACGAGCGCAACCCUUGUCCUUAGUUCCAGCGAGUAAUGUCGGGGACUCUAAGGAGACUGCCGGUGACAAACCGGAGGAAGGCGGGGAUGACAUCAAGUCAUCAUGGCCCUUACGAGUAGGGCUACACACGUGCUACAAUGGCCGGUACAGACGGUUGCGAAGCCGCGAGGGGGAGCUAAUCCGGGAAAACCGGUCGUAGUCCGGAUUGGAGUCUGCAACUCGACUCCAUGAAGUCGGAAUCGCUAGUAAUCGUGAAUCAGAAUGUCACGGUGAAUACGUUCCCGGGCCUUGUACACACCGCCCGUCACACCAUGGGAGUGGGUUGCAAAAGAAGUGGCUAGUCUAACCUUCGGGAGGGCGGUCACCACUUUGUGAUUCAUGACUGGGGUGAAGUCGUAACAAGGUAGCC
rnacentral:rRNA from 1 species